rnacentral:lncRNA from 1 species
GGCGCAGCUCAGGGCGGUGGCAUUAAAGCAAAGAGCGAUGGGUUUGGAACGGAGACACCUCGAAUUUUCUCACAUUUCUCUCUUCUCCAAGAAAAUGAGAGAGAGUAACUUGGAAGAGAGAAUAGAACAACUCACGUUCGCCUUUCCUUUUUGCUUUUUAUUUUCUGGCUGUUGUUCAGAUUUGCUUCUUUCCUUUGCAUCAAGCUUACAUUAUCC